GGGGGUAUAGCUCAGAUGGUAGAGCGACGGUCUCCAAAACCGUAGGUCGCGGGUUCGAUCCCUGCUGCCCCUGCCA
rnacentral:tRNA from 1 species